UACGUAGGGGGCAAGCGUUGUCCGGAAUCAUUGGGCGUAAAGAGCGCGUAGGCGGUUCGGUAAGUCGGCUGUGAAAGUCCAGGGCUUAACCCUGGGAUGCCGGUCGAUACUGCCGGACUAGAGUUCGGAAGAGGCGAGUGGAAUUCCCGGUGUAGCGGUGAAAUGCGCAGAUAUCGGGAGGAACACCUAUGGCGAAGGCAGCUCGCUGGGACGUUACUGACGCUGGGACGCGAAAGCGUGGGGAGCAAACAGG
rnacentral:rRNA from 1 species